UAGUUGUUAAAGCUGAAAAAAAAUUUCUUUGAAAAAGUUAUCUGUCAUUUUCUAAAGAAUAGCCAUUAUCCCUACUAGGGUUUCUGCCUCUCAAAGGCUACCCUUCAAUGCUCGCUACACCACCACAUUUGGUGGCCAACGCGUAAAACAUGGCCUAGAUCUGACAACGGAGGAGAACUCCGACCAUGAUCACGAAGGUUAGGUAAGCGUUCCUUUCUUUCCUUUUUAUUUUUAUUUUUACACAUUAACAACAAUAGAAGAAGAUAAAAAUAAAAAAUAAAAGAUCUAGAUGAAAACAACUUUAAAUCUGCUUUAAAAAAUAAGAGGGAUAGAUCUAUGAAAACGAAAAGGGUUUCAAUACUCCCUUUUAUUUUUUUGCAAUCACAAAGCAAAUCUACACUUGAAAUCAAACGAAAGCAAGAUAAAUUGAAAAAAAUAAACUCAACCUUCUGCUAAAUUUAUUUGAUUUCUCUGUAUUCCAAUAUGCAUGUGUAUCCUCCCCUUUCUUUCUUUAGAAUCGGCCUUAUAUAACCGAAAAAAUGAACAAAAAAUGAAAUUACAAUAUCAUUUUUAUAUUUUCUAUUAUUUCUUUGCUAUUGAAUUUCUUGUUUUUUUGUCGUUUUUUGGCUUCUUCUAGCAGGUUCUACUGACGUGGGGAGUGCCGUAUGGAGGAAGAGGACAUAGUGACGUGGGGGCCGUUUGUGGGAGCUGCGACUCAAGGGGUAACCUAGGGUUUUUGCCGAAAAUUGGCUUGGUGUUUUAGGCCGUUUGGGUUAAUUGGAUGUAAUGGAAUUUUGGGUUAAAUUUUAUUAUUGGGCUUGGAUUAAUUUUGGUGUUUUGAAAUGCUGUUGUAAAUGGACAUUGGAUCCUUUAAAUAAUUUAGUUUAUUAUUUAUUUUUUGUUUUAUUUUGUGUAUGAGCCCAGGCGAAAUGGGCUUUCUACACCAAUUUGUGAAAAAAUAAAAUAAAAUAAAAUAAAGAACACAAAAAUUUUUACGUGGAAACCCUUUUGGGAAAAAAUCACGGGCAGAGGAGAAAAAAAUACUAUGUCGAAUUCGAAUUAUUAUAAGAGGAAUAGACUAUGUCUAUUUAUAGGCUUGUAAAGCCUUAUUCUAGUAAGACUGAAACAUCUUAUUCUAAUCAAUAUAGAAUAGAUGGAGUUUAAUAAGGUUUAAAAAAACCUUAUUCUAAAAUAAAAUAAAAUAAGUGUAGUUCUAUAUGAAUUUUACUUUUGUUUUAUUUUACCAGUGUAUUUUAUUUAAAUAAGGAUUCGGGACAUCAAGGUUGAAAUUUUAAAAUUCAAA
rnacentral:lncRNA from 1 species